GGUACAAGGUUGCAGAAACUUUUCAGAAUUAAACACAUUUUGGAAUAAGCAUCAACUAGCAACAGAUAAACAUUUCCAAUUCCAUUCCUCUUUGCCAUCUACUGAUUCUAAACCAUAAACCUUUCAAUAUAAUAGGAGAAUAACACUCAGAGUUGGGGUAGCUAGCCACCAUAAAACCUUAAGAGCCACGAGUACCAUAAGAACCUGAAGUCUCUCAUCCUCCCAGUGACUUUGAAAAAUUCACUCAAAUCCCCUCAAACACUUUCAUUCUCCAAACACUCACACACAAAAUUUUCAAACUCGGAAGGAGAAGAGUAAGAUUCACAAACAAGUUUUAAGAAAAGAACUAAACUGAAUCAUUUUUUUCGUCCUUACUCCGGUCAUCUUCUCCGGCGAGGUAGAACCCAAACUCCGUGUUUAGCCACGUUUCACAUGCCACUAUGUAGAGCUAACCACAGGGAAUCAAAUCCCUCUAGUUAGAGGCUUUAAUUCCCCCACACCGUCAUUUAAUUUUUGUUGAGAGACCUAGGGUUUUCAAACUUUCUCCCUUCAAUUUGAGUUGUAGAUAUUGUUUCUGUUGUUUCGAUUUGUAGAUUCAUACUCCUGGGAUGAAAGUGAUU
rnacentral:lncRNA from 1 species